GGCGGGCACACGGCUAUGGAGGUCGGACGGUCGCCUUUGCCCUGCCAGAGGGAAAAGGAGCAGUUCCGCAAACUGUUUAUUGGAGGCUUAAGCUUUGAAACAACAGAGGAAAGCUUGAGAAGUUACUAUGAGCAAUGGGGAAAGCUUACAGACUGUGUGGUAAUGAGGGAUCCUGCAAGCAAAAGAUCAAGGGGGUUUGGUUUCGUAACUUUCUCUUCCAUGGCUGAAGUUGAUGCAGCCAUGGCUGCAAGGCCUCACACAAUUGAUGGAAGGGUGGUUGAGCCUAAGAGAGCUGUGGCCAGAGAGGAAUCUGGAAAACCUGGUGCUCAUGUUACUGUGAAAAAACUAUUUGUUGGUGGUAUUAAAGAGGACACUGAGGAGCACCACCUUCGUGACUACUUCGAGGAAUAUGGAAAAAUCGACACUAUUGAAAUCAUUACUGACAGGCAGUCUGGUAAAAAGAGAGGGUUUGGAUUUGUUACAUUUGAUGACCAUGAUCCUGUGGAUAAAAUUGUAUUGCAGAAGUAUCACACCAUCAAUGGCCAUAAUGCAGAAGUAAGGAAAGCUCUCUCUAGACAGGAAAUGCAGGAAGUUCAGAACUCUAGGAGCGGGAGAGGAGGGAACUUCGGUUUUGGUGAUGCACGUGGAGGUGGUGGCAACUUUGGUCCAGGGCCUGGCAGCAAUUUCAGAGGGGGAGCCGGUAAGACAGAUGGAUAUGGAAGUGGCCGUGGAUUUGGUGAUGGAUAUAACGGAUAUGGUGGAGGACCUGGAGGUGGCAACUUUGGUGGCAGUCCUGGUUAUGGAGGAGGAAGAGGAGGAUAUGGUGGAGGAGGACCUGGAUAUGGCAACCAGGGUGGGGGCUAUGGAGGUGGUUAUGACAACUAUGGAGGAGGCAAUUAUGGAAGUGGAAACUAUAAUGAUUUUGGAAACUACAACCAACAACCUUCAAAUUAUGGUCCAAUGAAGAGUGGAAAUUUUGGUGGCAGCCGGAACAUGGGGGGACCAUAUGGUGGAGGAAACUAUGGUCCCGGGGGCAGUGGAGGAAGUGGUGGAUAUGGAGGGAGGAGCCGUUACUGAGUUUCUGCAAGCAUGCCAUGGCUAUGAUAUGAACCCUGGACAAGCAUAGACUGCUGCCACUGUACACUGCUACAGUUGAACAAAUGAGACCUGCAAGUGUCCAUUAGUAAAGCUUUGCAAGGGUUCCAUCCCUGGUGUUGGUAGUUAAAAUGGAAGGUGCCAUGCUGCAGGUAACUAAUGAAGAAGUGGUCAACCACAGAAACGCUUCAAGAAAUAAGAAAUUCUGUAUCAUCAGAAAAUAGUUGUUUUUGCUGCCUUCAUAUAAAAAUCUAGAGGUUAAAUGAAUACUGAUAAAACAUCACAAUUAGUACAGCUCCCUGUAAUGCUGGGUUUUUUAAAUUAUAGUAAUAAUGUCUUGUAAACCUUUCGAAUAAAAUUCAGAUUCGUUAGGAGAAACAAAUCACUAAUGUUAAAAUAGCAAACAUUCUGUGAGUAGAAAAUUUAACUACAUAUUUUUAUAACUUUCAUAGCUUUAAAAUAAAGUAUUUUUUAUACCAAAGUAGUUCUAGUGUAAUGAUUAAUAAAACUUAGUGUGUGUCUAACAUUAAAUAAUGUUGAUGUGCAGCUUUUAGACCCUUUCAUGAUUUGAAACAUUCCAUUUUGAGGUCGAUUUAAAAACAAAAGUCAACUUGGCAAGUGUAUUCACUGAACUUGUAUCUCUGACUGUAGGCGCCUGUUCUCUUUUGGGAGAAACAGUGCUACAAAUUAAAAAUACUGAUCUUUUUGCUGUUGGACACAAUUGCUUUAAAGUAGCUUUUUGGCUGUGUUUUAUAUCACUUUAUAAAAACACCUCCUCCUUUCCUGUUAAUGAAACUAACCACUUAAGACAGUUCGUCAAAAUGGGAUAGGACAAAUAGCUUUAUCCUGUACAAGAUAAAGCUGUAAAGAGCUUUAGCAUCAAGAGAGAAGGAUUGAAUGGAAAUAGAGUUCCUGCUGUACCAGAACUGUAUUACUGAUAGCUGGAUCUUGUGGGGGGAAAAAAAACCAACAAAAAACAAACCAAACCCUCCAAAAAACAAACCAAACUCGAGGUGUGAGCUUGGGAAAGCUUCAGUUGGAAUGUAUGUGAGGGAAGGUAUCUUCAGUCUGUGCCGUUAUAACCUGCUACCUACAUACACAGUUUAUUCUAAACUUGAAAUUUAUAUGCUUAGCUUUGGCAGAAUCGUGUUCUUAACCUUCAUUAUGUAAUUCAAAAUUAGGAUUCACAUACAAUUUUUUUCUGUUUCUUAAGUUGAAAUUUGAAAUAUUUGCAUAGGUAACCAGUGGGCUGCAACGGAAGCAGAAAAGGAAGACGUGCACAAUCUGCUUUACUUUCUUCUUUCCAACAGAAUGAGUUGACCAGAUGAUACGGAAUUUGCCUUCUUUCCUGUAACUUAAUUUAGUUGAUGGAAGUUUUUCUUUGCAGUUGCCAAGUCCACUUUCAUAUGACAUUUAAAAAAAAAAACAACCAAACAAAACCCCCCACUUUAAAUGGGACUGUAUUCUUUUUCUCUUCGAGAUACUUACACUCAUUCAGUAAUCCUGCAACAAGGUUUAAAAUGUACUUAAGUACAUUGUAUUUUCUGUGCUGAGGAUGUUUUAAUUUUGAUCUACUGGCAGUGGGGGGAGUGAGUGUAUAGGGGACAGCAGUAUGCAAAAACUAAGUUACUGGCUAUUUAGUGUCUUGAAGGCUUGUAGUAUUUGAGUAAGUUUCCUGUUGUCUUCCUGCUGAACUUCCAUGAUUUUUCUUUCUUGGUAUGUUCUUAAGAAUUAAAGCAAGUGACAAUACAGUGUUUAAUGAUGAAUUCAAUGGGAGAAGUCACCAUGUUGAGUCAAGCCGAUACUGAAAGCUAGAGACUUUGAACAAAAAGAACAGUGUGUGGUCAAUUAUUGGUCCUCAAUUUGUAGACAACGUAUACUUUUAAUUUUGAACAAGUUGGGGUUUAUGUCACUUAACAGACUUUCUCUUUCAAAUUUGGGUAACAUUGCUGGUCAGUGUGUUUUGGUGUGCCAAGAACUGAGGAUCAGGUUGUCAGUACUAGGCCCAGCUUGCCCCCAGCAAACACUUUCUCCAGCAAGCUGAAGGAAGAAUGUGAAAGACAACGUGACCUAUAACUGGGAAUAAAAAAAAAAAAAGCCCCCCAAAACGGCAGUGUAUGACUUGGAUUUAUAAAGUGGUGGUCAAAAGAGGUCAGCCAGUGCUAGGGCUCUGGCUCUGCAGGCUUUGUGUUCUAUGUGCUAUUUACAAUGAAAGUUGAAUUUUAUUCUAUUACUUGUGCUUCAGGUGCUGAAAAGUGUUUAGGAAAAUGUGAAAAAUUGCUCUGAAUAGGGCAAAAUCAGCAGGAAUUGAAGAUUGUAUUCUUUGAGUUUUCUGAUGAAUGUACAUACUAACUUGGGGCAUGAAAUCAUACUACUGGGGAAGAAAAAACAAAUGCCAAAAAACAUAGGUGUGGAUUUUGAAGGAGCUGUCAACCAAGCGUGCUCUGGCAGCUUGACCACAUCCGUGAAAGAGGAGGAUUUGCAGAGAACAUACUGCAACAGUACAUUCCCAGCAGCUGUAGCGUUUCGGUUUGUUUUUUGAAGCAGAGUGCAUGAUGCAAGCACGAUCCCAUAGUAGUGCUGUUUUUUUGGUUUUUUUUUUGUUUUUUUUUUCACCUCCCAAGGGAGGUGCCAGGUUCACUCUCGUGUACAGCGAUGCGGGUAGGAGUGUAGAGUAACACGGGAAGGGUUUUCCUGCCUGCCGCUGGUUUGCCAGAAGCCAUACUGUCCUUUUUAACAGUGCGUUCUUGCUUUGCAGCCAGGGCUGAUUUCCACUACGGCACAAGUUUAUGUUGUCAGAAGUUACUCCAGUUAAUGUAGCAAGAAUGGUUUAUUUAUCAACAGUAAAAGUAAACAGGGUUUAACUUUAAAUGGCUGUGUGACUUGCGUGGCAGAGUGCUGUGAACAUAACCAGGCCAACAGCUUUUGGGGACCGUGUAGUUUACAAAUUAGCUUGUGCGACCUCCCAUGCUGCUUCGUUCUGUGAACAAGGUGACUGCACGUUCUAGAAAAUCACUCUUCCCCCUGAGUUUUCACCAAAACAUGAUUCCCCCCGGCUUCCUCUUACUCAGUCUGCUCUUUCUUGGUCCAUUUUGGGGCAUUCUUGUAUGAAAAUCAAUGGCUGAUGCAUUUAAGAGAGCUCUAGUAGCUGUGCAGUGGGUAUCCAGUUGCAAUGCUUUUGAGGUGUGCUACGGCAAUAAUAGUUCACAUGGUUACACGUGUCAUCCCUAUUUGGUUUAUUGAAUAAAGUUUUUCACUAAAACCUGGUGCUGAGUGUCCUGUUGCCUCAUUUAUAGGCCUCUACAUACUCUGUCCUCGAGAUUCUCAUCAGAACCAUAUUUAUGACUCCUGUAAGAUGCAGUUGUAUUUUGGGGCAAAUGCUGAGCUGUUAAAACUGACAAACAUGUUGAUGAAGUUGCUUUGUCCUUUCUUUGAAGUUCAUUACUUUGGUCACCCUGUCUAAAACUAGAUUGUAAGCUCUUGAGCAGGAACAACUUUAGCUUGUAAAAUUCAGCUUCUGUCAAAAAGGCAUGUUUAGUGAAUAAAACUAACCCGUAAAGCUAAA